rnacentral:rRNA from 1 species
GACGAACGCUGGCGGCGUGCUUAACACAUGCCAGUCGAACGGAAAGGCCCUGCUUUUGUGGGGUGCUCGAGUGGCGAACGGGUGAGUAACACGUGAGUAACCUGCCCUUGACUUUGGGAUAACUUCAGGAAACUGGGGCUAAUACCGGAUAGGAGCUCCUGCUGCAUGGUGGGGGUUGGAAAGUUUCGGCGGUUGGGGAUGGACUCGCGGCUUAUCAGCUUGUUGGUGGGGUAGUGGCUUGCCAAGGCUUUGACGGGUAGCCGGCCUGAGAGGGUGACCGGCCACAUUGGGACUGAGAUACGGCCCAGACUCCUACGGGAGGCAGCAGUGGGGAAUAUUGCACAAUGGGCGGAAGCCUGAUGCAGCAACGCCGCGUGCGGGAUGACGGCCUUCGGGUUGUAAACCGCUUUCGCCUGUGACGAAGCGUGAGUGACGGUAAUGGGUAAAGAAGCACCGGCUAACUACGUG